GUUAGUGUAGUAGAUAGUUCUUCUCAUGCUCAUCUUUGAGAACCAAAAACAGGACUAGUCUUAACUCUUGAGUGAAGUACAUAACUUUCCACUCAGAGUGUGAUGAAAACAUCAACAACCUAAACAAAGAAAACCUGUAACAUCCCGGGCCCGGCCCAAAAGGAAACUCAAGUGCAGGAGGCUCAAGGAGAAGAAACCCUAGACAUAACCCCUCCCAUCGCUUAUAAAAGGAGAAGUUUCCCUAGGGUUCAGCCACAAGAGAGACAGCAAGCGAAGCCCUGCCUGAGCAGAACCCCGCCGCCGCCUCCGCCUCAAGCCGCCGCUGCUCCAUCUCCGGCGAAGCCAGCCGCCAGCCGCCCGCGAAGCCCUAGCCGCCGCAACCGAGCUCCUAGCCGCCGCCUCCUUGAUUCAGUUUCGUGCAAGCAGCUGAGAUCUGAACCCUAAAGAUCUCGAGAAGUGACUGUUCCCCAAACCUAGAUCCAGAUCUACUUCUGCAAAAAGCUAAGGUAGGGCCGAGAGGGAGCGGGAGUAGAUGUCCGUAUGGUGCAAGUGUUUUCUCGAGUCUUUCAUUUAUGACUCCUUUCUUUCAACCAUUCCUUCUUAA